GCAAGUCGAGGGGUAACAUUGAAGCUUGCUUCAGAUGACGACCGGCGCACGGGUGCGUAACGCGUAUAGAACCUACCUUUUACAGAGGGAUAGCCUUUAGAAAUGAAGAUUAAUACCUCAUAGUACUAAAUUUUGGCAUCAUUAUUUAGUUAAAGAUUUAUCGGUAAAAGAUGGCUAUGCGUCCUAUUAGCUAGAUGGUAAGGUAACGGCUUACCAUGGCAACGAUAGGUAGGGGUCCUGAGAGGGAGAUC
rnacentral:rRNA from 1 species